ACAACACGCUGGGCGUAAUCGUGCCGUUUCAGACCGAUAGAUCACGCCAACGAAACUCNCCGCGUAAUGGCGUGAUACGCCAUUACGGAGAAUUCNUCUUGCNGGNAAGGGANCUGUUGCCUGGCUGAGAAAGUAGCCCNGGGUUUAUGGGCUNGUUUCCGCCUUAACGGUUCACCACNGUUAGUAUCCCCAAUNGAACUAAGAGGGUGACCCGNGACAUUGGGACUGAGAUAAUUUGCAGACUUCCACGGCUUGCAGCAGUUUGGAAUCUUCCGCAAUGGUACGCAAUGCCUUGACGUAUCGAACGUCGUCGUUGAAGCGAAGAAGGCCUUUCGGGUUUGUAAAGCUCUGUUGCCUCGGGGAGAGCGGCAUGGGGAGUGGAAAGCCCCAUGCGAGACGGUACCGAGUGAGGAAGCCCCGGCUAACUACGUGCCAGCAGCCGCGGUAAAACGUAGGGGGCGAGCGUUGUCCGGAAUCACUGGGCGUAAAGGGUGCGUAGGCGGUCGAGCAAGUCUGGAGUGAAAGUCCAUGGCUCAACCAUGGGAUGGCUCUGGAAACUGCUUGACUUGAGUGCUGGAGAGGCAAGGGGAAUUCCACGUGUAGCGGUGAAAAUGCGUAGAGAUGUGGAGGAAUACCAGUGGCGAAGGCGCCUUGCUGGACAGUGACUGACGCUGAGGCACGAAAGCGUGGGGAGCAAACAGGAUUAGAUACCCUGGUAGUCCACGCCGUAAACGAUGAGUGCUAGGUGUUGGGGGGACACACCCCAGUGCCGAAGGAAACCCAAUAAGCACUCCGCCUGGGGAGUACGGUCGCAAGACUGAAACUCAAAGGAAUUGACGGGCC
rnacentral:rRNA from 1 species